rnacentral:rRNA from 1 species
AGAGUUUGAUCAUGGCUCAGGAUGAACGCUAGCGGCAGGCCUAAUACAUGCAAGACGAACGGUGAAUAGUGUAGCAAUACAUUAUGAGAGUGUCGUAAGGGUGCGUAACAAGUAUGCAAUCUGCCCUGUACUGGAGAAUAGCUCCCCGAAAGGGGAAUUAACACUCCAUAAGAUUGUAGAGUGGCAUCACUUAGCAAUUAAAACUCCGGUGGUACAGGAUGAGCAUGCUUCUGAUUAGCUAGUUGGUGGUGUAAAGGACCACCAAGGCGAUGAUCAGUAGGGGAACUGAGAGGUUGAUCCCCCACACUGGCACUGAGAUACGGGCCAGACUCCUACGGGAGGCAGCAGUAGGGAAUAUUGGUCAAUGGAUGCAAGUCUGAACCAGCCAUGCCGCGUGCAGGAAGAAGGCCUUCUGGGUUGUAAACUGCUUUUGUCAGGGGAUAAAAUGACCAUGCGUGGUUAAUUGAAGGUACCUGGCGAAUAAGCCACGGCUAACUACGUGCCAGCAGCCGCGGUAAUAC